GCGCAUGUGGUGAAAUUGGUAGACACGUCAGACUUAGGAUCUGAUGCCGCGAGGUAUGGGGGUUCGAGUCCCUCCAUGCGCA
rfam:Niastella koreensis GR20-10, complete genome.